UACGUAGGUGGCAAGCGUUGUCCGGAUUUACUGGGCGUAAAGAGCGCGCAGGCGGUCGUUCAAGUCGCGUGUGAAAGCCCCCGGCUCAACUGGGGAGGGUCACGCGAUACUGAUCGACUCGAAGGCAGGAGAGGGAAGUGGAAUUCCCGGUGUAGUGGUGAAAUGCGUAGAUAUCGGGAGGAACACCAGUGGCGAAGGCGGCGACCUGGGUCGAGACUGACGCUGAGGCGCGAAAGCGUGGGGAGCAAACAGG
rnacentral:rRNA from 1 species